rnacentral:tRNA from 1 species
GUUUUAAUAGUUUAAAAAAAACGUUGGUUUUGUAAACCAAAAAUAAGAAUAAGCCUCCCCCCUUUUAAAGCU